AGAGUUUGAUCCUGGCUCAGAACGAACGCUGGCGGCAGGCUUAACACAUGCAAGUCGAACGGACGUAGCAAUACGUUAGUGGCAGACGGGUGAGGAACACGUGGGAACAUUCCUUUCAGUUCGGAAUAACUCAGGGAAACUUGAGCUAAUACCGGAUACGUCCUUCGGGAGAAAGAUUUAUCGCUGAAAGAUUGGCCCGCGUCUGAUUAGCUAGUUGGUGAGGUAAUGGCUCACCAAGGCUACGAUCAGUAGCUGAUCUGAGAGGAUGAUCAGCCACAUUGGGACUGAGACACGGCCCAAACUCCUACGGGAGGCAGCAGUGGGGAAUAUUGGACAAUGGGCGCAAGCCUGAUCCAGCCAUGCCGCGUGAGUGAUGAAGGCCUUCGGGUUGUAAAGCUCUUUUGUCCGGGAAGAUAAUGACUGUACCGGAAGAAUAAGCCCCGGCAAACUUCGUGCCAGCAGCCGCGGUAAUACGAAGGGGGCUAGCGUUGUUCGGAUUUACUGGGCGUAAAGCGCACGUAGGCGGCCUGUUAAGUCAGAGGUGAAAGCCUGGAG
rnacentral:rRNA from 1 species